AAUUGCAUUCAAUCUCUAUUCUCAUUAAUUAACUCUUCAUAUCUUGUAAAAUUCGUUUAAUAAUAAGCGAUAUUGUCAUUCAACGUAAAUUAGUGUAUAAGCCAGCAGUAUAAUAAUGUAUUGUAACAUAACAUGCAUAAAUAAAGAACUCUAAUCUAAUCCAUGAUCCAUCAUCUCUACACUCUAUGCUCUCUCUCUUCUCUAUUCAACUGCAUAUGCUUUCUAUUACUAUGUUAUAUUUUCCAGUACGGUAGGCUAUAUAGUUUGAGUCUCUCCACUUACUACCUGCUCCACAGUUUCGAAUAAUAGUCCCUUCUUUUGUAAUAGUGUAGGUCUGUCACCAUUGUCCACUGGUCUACCCUCUCUUUCUCAACUCACUCCUUCUCAGUCGGAGUAUUUCGCGCCCUUUUUGGUUGGGUUUGCCUUUUGGUUAGUUGUAGUCACUAAACUGUCACAAGGCAGUCGCAAGGGCCAGUUAGUUUCAGUUCAUCAUGUAUUGAAUACAGAUUACAGUUCAUGUUUCCAGUGUUUUAUCCGGGAAUUUAUUUGUUUUGAAGUCACUUGAUCUUCUAUUAUCAAUGAGACGUAUGUCGCGUCAUGCGCCGAUAAAGCUUUGGAAGGGCGCACAAUCACGAGUAUCAUGGGGAAGCUGGUGACCCUUCGUUGCCAUAUACUUUUCGUGGAAAAGAGUUCAACGCAAGGACGACCAUGAGAUAGAGAAAAAACCAUUCAAGGACCUUCUCAUAACUAAAGUUAUGAUUGACAUGGAGAAAAGAAGAAGAAACAGUCGUCUGCUGAAGUCAAUGAAGACGAGACACUUGAAAAUUUUAAUUUGGAGCUCCAGCCAUAAAAUACAAUUCGUCGCAUUACUAUG
rnacentral:lncRNA from 1 species